rnacentral:lncRNA from 1 species
AGCCUGGUCCAGCUCAGCACCUGGCUCACAUUAGGCACUCAGUGAAUGUUGAUGUGAACAAAUGAACUGAUUCAAAGAAGUGUCUCCUGAAGUUGCUUCUUUCCAAUCCAGCUAACAAAUGCAGUAUUCUGAAUGGAGGUACCAGAGAUCACGUCAUCUUCAGCUUUCUGCUGCAGAUCCACAUGAAGAAUCACACAUAUCCUUAAUGUUAGAUAGGACUUUGCAUUGAACACUUUAAAAUGUGAAGUCUGG